rnacentral:misc_RNA from 1 species
GUCCCACAAUGCGUCCAUAACACAUGUUCUAAACGUUGUAUGUGAUUUUUGGUCAAUUUUUUUUUGUUUUCUUUUGACCAGAAAGGAAUUUGUCCUAUAAAUGCCUUCUCAAUUCUCCUGCUUCAUCCUAUCUUAUUCUUAUCUCAUGUUUGGAUGAGGAGUUGAAAAUCAUUCUAAUUAUGUAAAUGGCUAAUCUAUUUCCAUGGGGUGCUGGUUGGGACCUUGAAUUGUCUCUUCCCUUGUAUAAUUUGGGUAGGGACGAGGAUUUUCCACCCAAAAUCCAUCCUGUUU